AGCGUUCUGUAAGCCUGUGAAGGUGUGUCGUGAGGCAUGCUGGAGGUAUCAGAAGUGCGAAUGCUGACAUAAGUAACGAUAAAGCGGGUGAAAAGCCCGCUCGCCGGAAGACCAAGGGUUCCUGUCCAACGUUAAUCGGGGCAGGGUGAGUCGACCCCUAAGGCGAGGCCGAAAGGCGUAGUCGAUGGGAAACGGGUUAAUAUUCCCGUACUUGGUGUUACUGCGAAGGGGGGACGGAGAAGGCUAUGUUGGCCGGGCGACGGUUGUCCCGGUUUAAGCGUGUAGGUGUGUGUUCCAGGUAAAUCCGGUUCACUUUAACACUGAGGCGUGACGACGAGGCACUACGGUGCUGAAGCAACAAAUGCCCUGCUUCCAGGAAAAGCCUCUAAGCAUCAGGUAACAUCAAAUCGUACCCCAAACCGACACAGGUGGUCAGGUAGAGAAUACCAAGGCGCUUGAGAGAACUCGGGUGAAGGAACUAGGCAAAAUGGUGCCGUAACUUCGGGAGAAGGCACGCUGACACGUAGGUGAAGUGAUUUACUCAUGGAGCUGAAGUCAGUCGAAGAUACCAGCUGGCUGCAACUGUUUAUUAAAAACACAGCACUGUGCAAACACGAAAGUGGACGUAUACGGUGUGACGCCUGCCCGGUGCCGGAAGGUUAAUUGAUGGGGUCAGCGCAAGCGAAGCUCCUGAUCGAAGCCCCGGUAAACGGCGGCCGUAACUAUAACGGUCCUAAGGUAGCGAAAUUCCUUGUCGGGUAAGUUCCGACCUGCACGAAUGGCGUAAUGAUGGCCAGGCUGUCUCCACCCGAGACUCAGUGAAAUUGAACUCGCUGUGAAGAUGCAGUGUACCCGCGGCAAGACGGAAAGACCCCGUGAACCUUUACUAUAGCUUGACACUGAACAUUGAGCCUUGAUGUGUAGGAUAGGUGGGAGGCUUUGAAGUGUGGACGCCAGUCUGCAUGGAGCCGACCUUGAAAUACCACCCUUUAAUGUUUGAUGUUCUAACGUGGACCCGUUACCCGGGUUGCGGACAGUGUCUGGUGGGUAGUUUGACUGGGGCGGUCUCCUCCUAAAGAGUAACGGAGGAGCACGAAGGUUGGCUAAUCCUGGUCGGACAUCAGGAGGUUAGUGCAAUGGCAUAAGCCAGCUUGACUGCGAGCGUGACGGCGCGAGCAGGUGCGAAAGCAGGUCAUAGUGAUCCGGUGGUUCUGAAUGGAAGGGCCAUCGCUCAACGGAUAAAAGGUACUCCGGGGAUAACAGGCUGAUACCGCCCAAGAGUUCAUAUCGACGGCGGUGUUUGGCACCUCGAUGUCGGCUCAUCACAUCCUGGGGCUGAAGUAGGUCCCAAGGGUAUGGCUGUUCGCCAUUUAAAGUGGUACGCGAGCUGGGUUUAGAACGUCGUGAGACAGUUCGGUCCCUAUCUGCCGUGGGCGCUGGAGAACUGAGGGGGGCUGCUCCUAGUACGAGAGGACCGGAGUGGACGCAUCACUGGUGUUCGGGUUGUCAUGCCAAUGGCACUGCCCGGUAGCUAAAUGCGGAAGAGAUAAGUGCUGAAAGCAUCUAAGCACGAAACUUGCCCCGA
rnacentral:rRNA from 1 species